UACAGUAACUGCAAACGAUUUGAGGUGGA
rnacentral:sRNA from 1 species